UUUAUGCGUUUCAAUUUCAUUUAUCUGUGAUUUCCAUUCUUCACCUUGUCUUAUACAUCUGUGUUAUUUCUUUUAACAAAAGGGGAGAGGAAAUUUCUUUAUUAAUCACCCCCAACAAUAACUAAAAGGGAGGAAAAAACACUUUAUAGACUUCACUCGAGUGACAUUUUUGUGCGGUAAUACGUAAAAUUUAUACUUAAAAAACUUAUUUUUUAAAAGCCGUUCUUAUGUUUUAUAAAAAUAAGUUAUACACGCUUUAAAAAUAUUAAAAAUCUGACUCUCGUGUGGCAGAUUUGGUGUUUUAGAUAAUGCUUUUCUUUGCUGUGUCGCGUAAACACGUGGAGUGUGUGCGUAUCAGAAAUUUAGGUGGUUUUUUUUAGAUUUCUGGAUAUAAAACCGGGUUAUAUUCAUUUUUUAAUCUUAAAUCUUUCUCGCUAAGGGUGAUAAGAAGAUCCCUUUCGUGCCUAUUUUAGACCUUCCCAUAAUGUAAAAAGCCGUAAGGGGUGUGAACCGUAUACCGGGUCAACUUACCUUAAUUUUGAGAUCUAAACUACAAACUAGUCUAUUGUUCUGGAGGAACCGGAGUUUAGGUCACGACCUUAACCUUUUAUUACCUGUGAUGUUUAUCAUGAAAACACUGCAAGAUUUGCUGUUUAUUAUAUAUUUUUUCUUAACUAUAUUAUUAGUAUUUUUCCCUUAUUAAACUACAUUCUCUUUUAACUACCAUCCAAUUUCCUCAACAAAUCGUUUAUAAAAGUAGUGGGAAAAUUGCCAGCUAGACGAAAAGUCAGUUAACCGAAACAUAUUUUACAAUACUUAACUCGUUUAACCGACUUUUGGACCGGGCCGUAUCCAUUUUUUAAGUCAUUAAACAUACUUUACGAGCUUCUAAAUAAAUUUUUCUACCAUAGUUUUUUAAGAAACAAGAAGGAAAAUUGUUCAAUAAUCGCAUAUAAAUGCUAAUGCCCUGUGUUUCUUUUCCCAAUUAUAUUUUAAAAUAUAUUAUUUAUAUUUUUCAUUAUAGAAUAUUAUUAGAAGCUAUAUUUUUCCUUAAAGAUAUCAACUUCUCGAGUAAUAAAUUACGUUACCUUAGGCAAUAAAUAUGUUUUUUCUACAGAUAAUAUCGCACUUAGACAUAAUUUCCACCUUUUUUUUAAUAUCUAUAACACUUAAAUAAACCAAGUAUGCUUUUUUAAGCCACUAGAUGUGCCUUCCAAGAUAUUAAUUAUAUUAUUUUAAGUCUCCACCUUUCAGAAAAAAACCUUAUUUAUUUGAUUUCCCUGCGAGAUUUCUUUUAUUUUAAGCCCAACUCUCGAAGGAAGAAGGGGAAAAAUACGUUUUUAAGCAUCACUCGGGAGUUUCAUCCAUCUAGAAAGUCGUGUGUCUCCUAUUGUUUGCAUUGUUUUUUUUAUAUUGUUUAAUUUAUAGAUUUUCCAGUUUAAUUAUUUUAUAUAUUUUUUUAAAGAUUUUAUUGCCGUUUUUUUUUUCUUUUUAUGCAGAAAAAAUGAUAUUUAGGUGCGUUUUCGGUAGCUAAAAGGAGCGCUGUUUGGAUUAAUGGAGCUCAUCAAUCGAGUUGUGUCGUACAAAUUUUGCUUUUGAUUGUCAAGACGUGUAAAGUGUCGCCGCCUACAGGAAGAUUUCAGUAGUUGUUGAUGGGAAAUCGAUGGUGAAAUGUCUGCCUGUGUUGACGUGGUGUUUGUUUAAAAGGAUUGACAUCUGUAACUGGAGUGAUUAAAUCCAUAAAAUUUAUAAGAUAGAACCAACAGGAAGCGUAGAAAAUACGUUGGAAGUAUCAACUAAGUUUACUGCAACUACUACAAGAAUAUUAAAAUUAAUCG
rnacentral:lncRNA from 1 species